rnacentral:lncRNA from 1 species
AGGAGGAGCUGAUUGAGAUUUCCACUGACAAGGAAGGCAUCCUUGAGGAUCCCCUGAAGAAAGAAGAUACCGCCUUUAGUGACUGGUCUGAUGAGGAUGUGCCUGACCGCACAGACGGCUUGGAAGCUGAGCACACUGCAGCCGCGGCCACUCCCGGGAGCACCCCUUCCCCCAUGUCGUCUCUUCUCCCUCCCCCGCCCCCUGUGGCUGCUGCCGGUACUGCAGCCACUGCUCUUGCCGCCUCAGCCAUUUCUGCCACCACCUCUACCACCAUUUCAAGCUCUGG